rfam:TPA: Bos taurus chromosome 19, whole genome shotgun sequence.
UCCCCGGUGGUCCAGUGGUUUGGACUCAGCCCUUUCACUGCUGUGGCCUGGGGUUCAAUUCCUGGUCAGGGAA